rnacentral:lncRNA from 1 species
CAGAAUCCGGCCAUCGGCCACCGUGGCAGCCGCCGAUCACCGGCGACGGCGCCGCCGUGCACGGUGGUCGGAAAUCGCCGAAAACAUUUUAACCCCCCCUUUUUUUGUGUAGAAUAUAGAUCUAGGGAUAAAAAUAUCAAAAAAUCACUCUAUGUUGCAGAUUCAAGACAUGCAAGUACUUUACUGGUUAGACGGUUAGUUUUCUCUACUUACUUGAUCUAUUGCUUUGCUUGCUGCCUGUGCCCUGUGGCUGUGUUUUUUGCCUUGCCGAAAUAUGGAGAAUGAAGAAAUAUAUUUUGCCUUUUCGUUUGCUUGUGAAUCUGUGAAAUGUGAGUUUGUGAGUGAGUUUUGAUUUUUUUAAUCGACUUUCAGAUUCAGUCUUUUACUUUACUUUGUUUUGAUUGC